rnacentral:tRNA from 1 species
GGGGAUUUAGCUCAGUGGUAGAGCGCUUGCCUAGGCAAGCACAAGGCCCUGGGUUCGGUCCCCAGCUCCG